UAGAGUUUGAUCCUGGCUCAGAUUGAACGCUGGCGGCAGGCUUAACACAUGCAAGUCGAACGGUAACAUGAACAAGCUUGCUAGUUUGAUGACGAGUGGCGGACGGGUGAGUAAUGCUUGGGAAUAUGCCUUGGAGUGGGGGACAACAGUUGGAAACGACUGCUAAUACCGCAUAAUGUGCUUUUUGUAGAGAAAAGUACCAAAGGGGGGGCUCUUCGGACCUCUCGCUCCUUGAUUAGCCCAAGUGAGAUUAGCUAGUUGGUGAGGUAAUGGCUCACCAAGGCGACGAUCUCUAGCUGGUUUGAGAGGAUGAUCAGCCACACUGGGACUGAGACACGGCCCAGACUCCUACGGGAGGCAGCAGUGGGGAAUAUUGCACAAUGGGCGAAAGCCUGAUGCAGCCAUGCCGCGUGUGUGAAGAAGGCCUUCGGGUUGUAAAGCACUUUCAGUUGUGAGGAAAGGGUGUUGGUUAAUAGCCAACAUCUGUGACGUUAACAACAGAAGAAGCACCGGCUAACUUCGUGCCAGCAGCCGCGGUAAUACGAGGGGUGCAAGCGUUAAUCGGAAUUACUGGGCGUAAAGCGUUCGUAGGCGGUUUGUUAAGCAAGAUGUGAAAGCCCAGGGCUCAACCUCGGAACAGCAUUUUGAACUGGCAGACUAGAGUUCUGUAGAGGGGAGUAGAAUUUCA
rnacentral:rRNA from 1 species